UGAUUACUUAAGAAAUUCGGUUUAUUGUUUAUUUCUAAUGCUUUUUAGUUUGAAUUUUUGUUAAGAUGGAAAAUGAAGUAGGGAUGUUUUUGGUGAAAUGCUUUAUUUCGUAAACUAGGAUAUUAUCAACAUUAGAACACAAUAAUUUCUUGACUUGGCUACCAUAGGAAGACACACUUGUUGCAGCCUAUCUGAUUAGAUCAGGGAUGCUCAAAAGUAUGUCACAAUGGCUACAUUGCAUUUAACAAAAUUAUUUUAUUUAUAUCUAAUUAUUGAAUAUGUAUCAUUUUUUAAUAUAAUAAUUGAUUAAUAUGUUGUCUUGAAAUAUUACAGGAAGUUCUAAGAAAAAAAAUUCUAUUGAUACCUUAACUCAAAAUUUAAUAUAGUUCUUAAAAUAGCUAUUUGACAUAAUAAAAAAACUUUUGGAAAUAAAUGAUUACUCUAUAGGUUUAUUUGAAAGAAUUUCCUGUAAUUAUGAUAAAUGAAACAUGUUUAUGUGAAUGAUGAUUAAUAUAAAUUUAAAAUAUUAAACUUGAAAAAAUUAUUAUAUUUAUUAAGUUAUUUAUUUUAAAGUAUUUGCCAUUGUGUUAUAAAUCUUCCCUAUUGGUUACAUAUAAGUAUUCUCAUAAUUUAUUGAUCAUUAAACAUUUGCUACAUUAACAAGCAAUUUGUAAUUAAUAGCUGAUAUAUAAUUUACUUUGAAAAUAUUAGAAAAAUUAAAAUCUUUAUUAAUUUGGAUAUCAUUUUAAAUCUUAUAAUUGUUUGAUUCUGUAACAGUAAUCGUUAACACAAUGAUGUCCAUGAUCUAUAUAGGUUUAGUUUGAGAUUUGAAAUGUUCCUUUAUAUUAAUGGCCAAUUGAAGUUGUUUUUCCUUGAUUUAUUAUUAUACCCUUAUAUUUGAAAGGUUUUACAUUAAAAACAAAAAUCAUCAUCAUUAUAAAAUGACAAUUUUAAAGCGUUAAUUUUAUAAACUUUAUUAUUGUGUAAUUAAAAAUGAUCUGUCUUUUUGCUAAAAUGUUCCCGAUUUUAGUUUAUAUGUCUAAGUAUAUUCACAAACAGAUGUUAUUUAUGGUGUUUUUGAAGAUUUCUAGAUUGUAAUGUUUUUUAUAGUGUGUUCUGAGAGAGCAGUAAGAAUUAUUCCAUACUUACGUUAAUGCUGAAUAAAAGGGUUUUCAAGAUCAUUUGCUAUUUCCUGGCUUUAACAAUUUUCCUUUAUAAUGCUUAUGUAGAAAUCACCACCUAGGCAUUUAUUAGCUUUAAUUUUUAUGUAGAAAUUAUAUUGCAUUUCUUUUAGCAGAAGAGAAUCAGAAUUUUUUUUUUGUUUCAAAAAUUUCAACAGUCAUUUUUAAUGUUUAUUUGGUUUGUUUAAAUCUUACUAAAGCAAAUGAUUCAUUUGGUUCUGCUAUUCUAUUUACAAAGAACAUCAAGAUAAACAAUUUCAAAAAAAUCUAAGCGGAUUACCACAUUACUUUAACACAUUAAGAAAAGAAUCAUUUUCCUUUAUUCAGUUGUAACAAAAAUGUUUCAAACAUGUCAGAAAGUUAUUUCUCUGUUAAUUUGUAUAAAAAUCUAUUGACUAAUAUAGUGGUCUAAAUGAAUAUUAUUGAGAUUAUUAUCUAUUUAUCAAUAUAAGUAAUUAAACAAUUACAUCAUGAAAUUGCAUAAAGAAAGUACAUUCAUAUUAGUGAUAAGUAAAUGAUUUGUUUGUACCUAUUUUUAUUAGUUUUGUUGCACAGUUGAUGCAACAAAACUAACAAAAGUGUUAGUUGCAUUUUAGCAGUGUCUAAUGUCACAUUUAUACUGGUCAAAGAACUUUGUUUUAUUCUGAUAUCACUAGAAAUUUUCUAAACAUUUGCUUGCUUUUAUCAGCAUAUUUUAGCAGGUGAAGCUGUAUAAUAUAUUUUAGUAAAUCAAGCAUUUUGUCUUCAAAGAAGUUUUUCUAAUUUUGAUAAAUACUACAGGUUGUCAAUGUUUACAAAUAUUAGUUGGCAAAAAUGUGAUCCAAAUUUAAAAAUAAUAAUAAUGCAUGGUGAAAUUGAGAAAGGUUUUAUGUUUAUUACUAUAUUAGAUUUUUACAGUUACUAUGGAUUAGGCUACCAACUGAAUUUUAAGUACUAUAUUCCAGUUAUUCUUAAGCAGAAUCAAAUGCAAAUAAAGUAAGUAAGUGCAAAGAAUUUAGUAUUCCCCAAAUAAAUUGUAUUAUAAACAAACAUAUUUUGUAUUUAGGCAUCAUUGUGUUAACUAUUUUUAUAAAUGUCAGAUGGAAAAAGUAAAAUAUAUGAUUGCAUUUAUUUAUUUAUUUAUUAUAUGUAGUUAUUAAUGAAAACAGCCAUAAGAUUGCUGAUGAUUUUUCUUGCUAGUAAUAUAUUUUUUGAGAAAAUUCCAUGAUUUUGGAGGUUUAUUUUAAUGGCUGUGUGUGAUCUAUUGCUAUUUAAAUAAUUUGAAUCAAUUACAUUUGUAGUAAUUACUGGUGAUAGCAAAUAAUUUUUUUUAGAAUUUUAAAGGAAUGAAUCCAAUUGGCUUACAUAGUUUUUCUAUAAAUUUCUUCUGGAUGUGAGCUGUGAAUGAAAAACAUCAGAAUCAAUUAUGAAGUACAGUUAAUGGAUAAAAUGCCAGUAAAUGAAAUUUUUAGAAAAUUACUUAGAAAUAAAUUGAAUCCCCAAAGAGGUUAAAUCAGGAUAUCAGGGAUGAUGUAAGAGUUCAGCUUUUCCUGUUGGUACCAUUAAAUGAAAAAAUGAUUAAGUAAGUGGAAUCCAUACAAGGGAAUUUGGGGAUAAUUGGAUUCACCAGCCGUUGACAUUCAUUCAUGGAUGUAGCAACAGAAAGGAAAAUAACUACAGAUUUAAUAGUACACAAAUAAUUUGUGACAAGAUGGUUGGCAUGAUCAUCAAUAUAAAACCCUAUCCAGGUCUGUAUUGGUGAUUCUAGCAUUUCUUUACAGCUGGUGAUGGUCAGUGUGUUCGAACGUACAAAGAGUCAAUCAAAUUUUGUACAUUCGUAUACAUUUCGGUAGAUAAGUUAAAAUGGGUAACGGAAAACUGAAUGUAUAUUUUAUAUUUAUGACAAUUUGUUAUUAAAGCAUUUUUAAUCACUA